UCGGGGGUCGUCUAACGGUAGGACAACGGACUCUGAAUCCGUUUAUCAUGGUUCAAAUCCAUGCCCCCGAG
rnacentral:tRNA from 1 species